rnacentral:misc_RNA from 1 species
GUAGGUGAACCUGCGGAAGGAUCAUUAACAAAAAAUCUGGUGGCUUCGUGCCACCAAGACCGCCAAUUUCGGCGGUGUCCCGGAGGUUCCCUGGGCUCUCUGAGGCUCUUGAAGCCUCGGUUCCUGGGGGGGAGACCAAUGGGACAUUACACCCGAGGGCCUUCUCUUUUGAGGAGGGGCCCGAGGUGGUCGGCCUCUCCAGGGCGUAUAACUCUGGGGAAGCGGGCUUGGUAUGUUUGUUGGGAGUCGC